rnacentral:lncRNA from 1 species
CUUGGCUAUGUGGGCCAGUGAGUUGGCUUAGCAGGCAGUGGCACCCUGAGAUUGUGGUAGAUCAAGCUCUGGAACCCAUGCAUAGGUGGAGAAGAAGACCCAGCUCCACGAAGCUGUCCUCUGACCACCUCACACAUGGUAUGGCAUGCGCACCCCCAAACAGAAAUCAACAACAACCAAAGAUCUCAACUGGCUUGGGAGCUGCAAAGGGCCAGGCAUGCCAGCCAGAGCACUUCCCUGAAUGGGACCUCAAAAGAAGUCUCGGAGGCGUGGCUGAUGACAACCACUCAGAUUCAUCCAUUGCCUUCUUUGUCAGAAGGACAUUCCCCAAGCACGGAGCCCUCACAGAGAACAGCUAGUCUUUAAGAGGGACUUGAAGAGGUUAUGCAGCUGAAGCAUGGUCAGGGCUGCUUGUGAACUUUCGGGAGCUGGCAGGGAGGCCUGGACCUAGAGAGGGGCUGGGCAGGAUGGAUGCAGGCACAGGGCACCGAAUACCAAAGGUCAGAGGGGAGCGAGACUGGAGAUUGCUGAACUUACAGAGAUCCCUGGGCUUGUAUCAGAAUGUGGGGGACAGGGCAGGGGACAGAGAGAAGGCUAGAGGAAGCAUGGGGCCAGCUCGAAGAAGCCAAUUUCUGCCUCAGAAGCCAGGGGUACAUGAGGUAAAAAGAGGGGAGCCUUCCAGGACCUUGAGAACUAGCCUGUUUUAGCCAGUCUGAUUCUUGGAAAGAGCAGCAAAGUCGGGCAGGCAGUCAGACAUGACAGGUUAACUAGGCAUGGUGGUCCAGGCCUGUAAUUCCAGCUACGAGGGAGACUCAGGCAGGAACGUCACAAGUGCAAAUCCUAUUUGAGCUACAGAGUGAAGCGAAGAAGAGUCUGAGCAACUUAGUUAAGGUUCUGAAUCUAAGAGUAAAAGCAAGAGCUAGGGAGAUGGCUCAGCUGGUAAAGUGCUUACGUCAUAGGAAUGAAUGUAUGAAUGAGUUAACUCCCAGCAUCCCUGGUUAAAGACCAUCACUGGGGAGGCAGAGGCAGAGGCAGAGGCAGAGGCAGAGGCAGAGGCAGAGGCAGAGGCAGAGGCAGA